GGGACUACCCGGGUAUCUAAUCCUGUUUGCUCCCCACGCUUUCGUGCAUGAGCGUCAGUGUUAACCCAGGGGGCUGCCUUCGCCAUCGGUAUUCCUCCACAUAUCUACGCAUUUCACUGCUACACGUGGAAUUCUACCCCCCUCUGCCACACUCUAGUCUUCCAGUCACAAAUGCAGUUCCCAGGUUAAGCCCGGGGAUUUCACAUCUGUCUUAAAAAACCGCCUGCGCACGCUUUACGCCCAGUAAUUCCAAUUAACGCUCGCACCCUACGUAUUACCGCGGCUGCUGACAC
rnacentral:misc_RNA from 1 species